rnacentral:rRNA from 1 species
CGGACGGGUGAGUAACGCGUGAGAAUCUACCUUUAGGACGGGGACAACAAUUGGAAACGAUUGCUAAUACCCGAUAUGCCCUUCGGGGUGAAAUGUUUUAUCGCCUGAAGAUGAGCUCGCGUCCGAUUAGCUAGUAGGUAGUGUAAUGGACUACCUAGGCGAUGAUCGGUAGCUGGUUUGAGAGGACAAUCAGCCACACUGGGACUGAGACACGGCCCAGACUCCUACGGGAGGCAGCAGUGGGGAAUUUUCCGCAAUGGGCGCAAGCCUGACGGAGCAAUACCGCGUGGGGGAGGAAGGUCUGUGGAUUGUAAACCCCUUUUCUCAGGGAAGAAGCUCUGACGGUACCUGAGGAAUCAGCAUCGGCUAACUCCGUGCCAGCAGCCGCGGUAAUACGGAGGAUGCAAGCGUUAUCCGGAAUUAUUGGGCGUAAAGCGUCCGCAGGCGGCUAGAUAAGUCUGCUUUCAAAGAGUGGGGCUCAACCCCGUAGGGGGAGUGGAAACUGUUUAGCUAGAGUAUGGUAGGGGCAGAGGGAAUUCCCAGUGUAGCGGUGAAAUGCGUAGAUAUUGGGAAGAACACCAGUGGCGAAGGCGCUCUGCUGGACCGAGACUGACGCUGAGGGACGAAAGCUAGGGGAGCGAAAGGGAUUAGAUACCCCUGUAGUC